AUGAAGUGUGCCUUCUCGUCUUUCAUGAGUGUCAGAGUAAUUUCUUUAACAGUGAUCAGACCACACAGUGGUGAGUCCAACGUGCAGGUCAGAGCAAGCAGUCAAGAAGGAAAGGCCAGAAACAGGUGGAAAGCCUACCAGGACAAGCUAGAGCCCCACAAGGACAGACUGAAGCCCAUGUUCUUGGUGAUGAGGGCAUCCUACAGAAGUCAGGCCUUUGUUCCAGAUCUGAACACAUACACCUGGCCCAGCUCCUGCAUCACAUCAACAAGGUGAGUCAGCAGGUGAGCAACAAUGUAUUUGUGAUACAAAAUUCUUCUUGCCCCCACUAACGCCACACCCUACUCCAAGUCACUGAGAAUCUCCCUCAUGGCCAACCUUAACUGGAAACAUAUAAAAAAGGGGAUUCUGUAGUUCAGCCUAGCUAAGCUGAUACACUGCAAACUCAUCACAUCAUAACACUCACUCCAGUGGCUCUUAAAGGCCUCAGCUCCUCGCUGGCUGUUGGCAGGGGGCCCAGUCCCCCAUCACAUUGGCCUCUCAUUAGGGCUGCUUGAGUGUGCUCAUGACACAACAGCUGGCUGCCCCCAGAGUGAAUGGCCCAGAGAGAGAAUGAGGAGAAGCCUGCAAUGCCUUUGAUAGCUUAGUCUUGGAAGUCGCUUAUUGUCACUUCUGCCGUAUUCUAUUCAUUACAAAUGGGUCACUGAGUUCAGAACACAAGCAAGGGGAGGACAAUUAGGCUCCACCUUUUGAAGAGAGGAGGGUCAAAGAUUUAUGGGAGUAUUGAAAACCAGAGGACAGUAUUUAAGCUAUGGGGAAGGCAGCAAUUUGAAGAGCCAGAGAAGAGUGUUUUGGGGGCAGAGGUGACAGCAAGAGACCCUGAAGGGUUUGAUGUGUGUAGGCGCCUCCUCUUAAACUCUAUGUGGCUACAGCCUCAUGAGCCAGCCCCCAGGGAAAGCCGCCUACCAUGCGGCUGGGUCUCCUCUAUUGGGAUGAGCAAUUUGUGCUUUAUUCCAAGUGCAACGAGAAGCCAUCAUGAGGUCACAAGAAGAGGGACACAGUCUGGUUUGCGUUUUUGAGGUAUUGCUGUGGCUGCUUUAUGGGGAGUGGAUUGGAGGGGAGGAGGAUAGAGUAGAUGCAGGGAGCCCAGAAGGGGCAUCAAAACAGCAUGCCUGUUCUCGUUCAAGCUGUGUUGUUUAUUUGAUUAAUUCUUGUAACCUUUCUGAACCUCUUUCAUCCACUGUAAAAUGAGGUGACUAUUUCUUGCACACUUCCC
rnacentral:lncRNA from 13 species